CUCUAAUCAAGAUGGUAAAUGAAAUCACUGGAUGAUACAAUUUACAGUUUGGGUGAUAGAAAUCUGAGGCUUCAAAAUGCCAAUAGUUUGUGCAAUGAAGCAAGAAUUAUUAUCAUGGUCUAGUAGUUCUUGGUUUGGUUUGCCUGAUUUAGCACUGUAUUUGAACUCCGAGGGGAUGAAAUAAUUCUGUAGUUUUAAGUUUGUGUUUAUUGUUUCUGGUGUAUGAUUCUCAUUUUGUGGAGUUGAAAAUCAUUUCUAUCUGAUUGAGAGGAUAGCUAUUAGAAAUUUGGAAUUGAAAUCCGAAGGAAAGUUACGUUUGUGGAUAAGAUUUUUUACUUUGGGGGAAUUUCCCUAAGUGGAGGAGAACAUUUUUCAGAAAAUGGGGCGUAUUGAAUGUAAAUUUGAAAAAUGAUGAGGAGAAGCCCGAGGAACUAUCCAUCUAAUUGUUCUGUGGUAGAUGGCAACUCGAGUCCGAGGGAUGUCGAUUGAGUCAAUUUUUGUCUAUGCUAUUCAUAAUAAAGGAUUGUGCAUUUCAGCUAUCAAUAUUUUAAAGAAUAGCAGUAAGCUCGUGUUAGCAUCUAGUUGAAGGGUGGCUACUCAUGAGUCGUGACGAAGUUUGAAAGCACCAGUAUGCAGGUCUUUCUUUUGGCUUCUAAGGUUCUUAGUUUCUUAAGGGCAGGAAUUCUAGGACCCUUUUGAUGAAGCUGUUGUGACCCUUGUAAUGUUAUUCGAGGAACAAUGUUGUUUUUGAGUAUUCGGAGAAGCUGCAGAUCAUUCUUAGGACCCUUCGUAAUGAAGCCAUUGUGACAGAUUGUCAUUGAGUUAUAUUAAAGAGACAUCCCAUUCCAAGGUGUUUGAAGUUUGAGAAAAGACAUUCCUAGUAAGAUGCGGUGCUGUUGAAUCAUCGCAUUUUCUUCAAGAGAAGUAUGCUUUCAGUCUCUCUUCUUCCCUAUGUGUUAUUUGGGGUUGGAGAAGUUGCAUUCAGUCUUUCAUCCUAUCUUCCCAAUUGUCCUGGUACCGAUGUUAAAGCAGAAAGAAUAAGAUGCUCUAGCAUAUUUGAUUGUGCAAGCAUAAAGGAAUAUCGAAUAGCACUUUGUUAAGAAAGAUACCUUAAAUGUCAAAAUCAGGAUGCUCGGGAUGCAAUUUCAGGACUUCUUUUCAUUUGUUUCUUCUAAAUUUUCAAUCAAUUAUCUUAUGUUGUCAGUUAAAUUUCUGUUCCUGUAGCGUUCACUUACUUCCUUACAUUGAUUCCUGAAAUUAUAGAAGAAGAUCGAAGAGCAAGAUGUAGGAAAAUAAAAUAGAAUGGUUGUGUUC